rnacentral:lncRNA from 1 species
UUCUGAAUUCUUUCCCAGAGGCAGUGACAAAAAUCAAACAUCCGAUGUGUUCUUUACCUUUCAGUAAGCUCAGCCUCCCUGCUUGUGUCACAUCUCUAAACAUACGUACAUGCGUGAUUGAAACUGUCUAUUGAAAGCAAUAUUACAUUAACAUUAUCAAUACUGAAUUAGAGAAAAUAUCUAUCAAUGUCACCAAUUCCACCUGUCUCUUGAUGUAUGACUUUUUACCUGACAGGCUAAAUAACAAUAGAAAGUUCUUUUUAAAAAAUAGAAGAGUUGCUAUGCAGGGACUUUUUUGGAAUUAAGUGCCCCAGAGAACCUAGAAAUGUGCUUUAAAACUUUUUGUUUCACCUGGCAGAUCCAAAAAAAAUUUGGAAGCUUUUGGUUGAAUUCCCUCAUUACUUGAAGUUGUUUUAUGAAAAUUGAAUAUAUAUAUCUGUUAGGUUACCAAGACUUAUGGUUAGCUAUCUUAAUGGCUAGUGAUAUAAGACCUUGUAACAAACCCUACCAAUGGAACUGACAGGAUUUUACCAGGGAGGAUAUUGCAGUACCUGUAAGAGGAAGGGAUACAAAUUGGCACUUCAUACAUUUGUGAGAACAAUUGCCUUUAAUGUGUCUAUUUGGUUUUCAUAAUAUUGCAGGCCUCUGCUCUUGUAAGAAGUUAGCUGCAGAACCCACAUGUGAAUCCUUGUAGGACUCUGGAGAAGAUCAAAUGGGAGCUUAGAUGUGGAAGCUCUUUGGAAACCAAGAAACACUCUGAAAAUGAAAAGGCAUAAGAAUGUUUAUCACAGCAUGGCAUAUAUUGGAAGUUUAGUAAAUGAAGAUACAUCCAAUCUGACAUUCUAUUCACAACCACAAAGAGAUAAUGUAGAAACAUAUUUAGUAAUGUGAGAAAAUACUAAAUAUUAAGUGAAAAAGGUGGAAGAGUAAACUGUUCCUGUUUCUCCAUCUUGACAGGAAGCAGAAGUUCUCCUUAGCUGAUUUUUCUUCUUGCCUUAUACUGGGUUCUUUAACACCAGAACAAAAAUAAAUAAAUAAAAGAAUCUUCCAGAAAUUCAUGAAGAGACUUCAGGUCAGGAAAGCCUGAACUUUCUCAUCCAACACCCGUUCAAGUCGGAGGAUGCUGAUUAAUUCAUGAUGGAAAGGUAUCAAUUUCACAGCCCAGACCUCUACAUUCUUGAAAUGCUCUUCUCAUGGGAGACAUUAAAUAAGCUUUGAAUUAACUGUCAGACGUUUGCUGAAUUCAGUUCUGAGCUUUUGAACCAAAAGCAGAUCUUCAGAACAAGAAACAAGAUAAUAAAAGAGAAACAUGAAGAAACUGAAGAUGAUUGGAGAAAUAUGAAUCAAGAUGAUUAGACCUAGCAGAGGGCUGGCUGGAUGGCAUUUAUGUUGACAAUGGACUCCUACACAGAGGAUGAUCAUGGUCUAGGACAUAAUAGUCAUUCAAUCAUCAUUUCUUAAAUGAUUUUUUAAAACAAGUGAAUGAAUGACCAAUUAUAUACCUUCCCUGAGCCAAUAAAAUAUAUUAAAAGUAUAGGCCUGGGCACAGUGGCUCAUGCCUGU